rnacentral:rRNA from 1 species
GAUGAACGCUGGCGGCGUGCCUAAUACAUGCAAGUCGAGCGAACAGACGAGGAGCUUGCUCCUCUGACGUUAGCGGCGGACGGGUGAGUAACACGUGGAUAACCUACCUAUAAGACUGGGAUAACUUCGGGAAACCGGAGCUAAUACCGGAUAAUAUAUUGAACCGCAUGGUUCAAUAGUGAAAGACGGUUUUGCUGUCACUUAUAGAUGGAUCCGCGCCGCAUUAGCUAGUUGGUAAGGUAACGGCUUACCAAGGCAACGAUGCGUAGCCGACCUGAGAGGGGGAACGGCCACACAGGAACGGAGAACCGGUCAAGACUCCUAAGGAAGGAAGGAGUGGGGAAUCUUCGGAAAAGGGGGAAACCCUGAAGAAGCAACGCCGGGUGGGGGAAGAAGGUCUUCGGGUUGUAAAACCCUUUUAUUAGGGAAGAACAAAUGGGGAAGAAACCAGGGGGGUCUUGACGGUACCCAAAGAAAAAGCAGCGGCUAAAUACGG